rnacentral:rRNA from 1 species
UACGUAGGUGGCAAGCGUUGUCCGGAUUUACUGGGUGUAAAGGGCGUGUAGGCGGGAUUGCAGGUCAGAAGUGAAAUGCCGGGGCUUAACUCCGGAGCUGCUUUUGAAACCGCAGUUCUUGAGUAUCGGAGAGGCAAUCGGAAUUCCUAGUGUAGCGGUGAAAUGCGUAGAUAUUAGGAGGAACACCAGUGGCGAAGGCGGAUUGCUGGACGACAACUGACGCUGAGGCGCGAAAGCGUGGGGAG